GUGGCCUGGUCUGGUCUUGGUCUUUGGCACUUUUACCUGACAUUUCUGGUGCCGUGACUCGGAUGGUAGAUGGUCCAUUAAUGGACGAUCCCCCCCAGGAUGGGGUUGAUUGACCUUUUGGCCAUCUCCAAUGGACCUAUCUGCCAUUGCCAGGACCCUCCGGGGCUUUCUACCUUUGCCAUUGCUGGCGCUACACAUCCACACCGGUCACCAAUGUCUGGGUGAGUAGGGAGUUCAGCCUCCCUCUCGUCGGGUUCUCUGUCUCGUGUUCUCUCCCCCUCUGGGGACUUCUCAGAAAUCCAAGCGCUUGGUCAGAGAAACCCCCACGGCCUCUGGGCCCAGGACCCUGCCCCUGGGAGACGUCCCAUCGGCCCGCCUCCUCUCAUUCUCUCCCUUUGGGAGACUCACUCGGAGAUUGUCAAAGGAGACAAGGACGUUUCUCCCCUUUGUCUUUCCCCCCAGGGGCUGCCUCCUCCUCACCCGCUCUAAUCAGGGGGCCCAACAAUCCAAACCCCGCCCCUCAAUGCCUCCGGGCUGCCUUCUGGCACAACUCAAACCCCUCGGAUUGUUGGGACCAGACUUUAAGCCAAAAAGACUUGUUUUCUAUUACAAUCAGGUUUGACCUCAGUAUAAAUUAGAUAAUGGGUUUCCAUGGCCCAAAAAUGGCACUUUCAAGUUUAACUUACUGUGUGAUUUACACAACUUCUGUCAACACAAUGGCAAAUGGUCAGAAAUCCCCUACAUACAAGCCUUUCCUAACUAUGCUUUUAACCCUCCCUCUGUCAAACCUGUUCUCCUUCUCAAAUCGUCCUAGCCUGAGCCAAUCACUCACCGCUCAUACCUCCCCCACUUUAUAACUCUGUUGAUAGGAAAAAGUUUUAAAGUUUAAUAGAUUAGCUAUUAAAGUAGUUGUGGAAGCAAACUAGGUAGUGUAUCCCUUUAAAAACUUGCCUUAGCCCAUUGCUUCUGCUGUUUAAAGUAAAGGUUAUAUAGCUUCUUUGAUUUGUAGCUCCACUAUAGAUAACAUCCUAACUAAAGAACAAAGUGGGAAUCCUUGAACAAACUUGUGAGACAUGUGCCUUAACUGUCAUGUGUUUAGGGCUGUCAUCAGUGGCAGAAACCACCUGUGUCUAACCAUUAAACAGGAAUUGGAACUUUAUUUACUUAACAAAGACCACUAGGGAUGAGAUAAUGAUGGACAAAAGUAUAAAAUGUUUAUAGUGAGUCGGAGACCAAAUAUUUAAAAAGCUAUAAGUAAAAGACAUAUUUUUGAUAUAAAAGGAUUUUAUAUGUUUGUCUUGUUAGCAGGACAAGACCAAAAGGCCUAGGUACAUAAAGAAGGUGUGUGGAAGUGAUUUAUGAAGGAAAUAUAUAUGUUUACUUGUUGGUUUCAAGUUUCUUAUAAAAGGUUUACAGGAAUAGAGGUUUCAUUCCUUCUGAUUUUAAUUCUACAAGAGAUCUCUGUUAAUUGACUUACAAAAAGUUUUAAAUAGUCUUAUUUAUAAUUAUAAACCUAAAAUUAUAAAGAGAUUAUAAUUCCUUUGGGCUAAAUAUAUUUGAGUGCACCCUAGUUUUAGAAAUUGUCUUAUAUCUUUGUUUUUUGUCCAAUCGUACAGCUGUUUUGUUUAUAGAUAAAGGUUAUUAAGUUCAAGGCAUGCUCCCCUUGGUGAACAAAGGAGUGGCUGCAUGGAAAUAUUUUCCAGUCUUUGUUCACUAGGGGGACCUCAACAGUUUUCAUCUUACAACAGACUGACCCGAUAGUUUUCAUAGCCUUAUAAAAGACUUACAGGAAUAAAUAUUAUUUAAAUAUAUUAUUAUACUGUUUAUAUCAAUUGUCAUCAAAGGGAUAAAUUCUAAAUAUGUUAUUAUGGUGUGCUUACACUGGUCAUUUUCAAAGGACUAAAUAUCCUGUAAAAAACAACAAUAACAAGGUUUUAUUUUUUCUAGUGUACUAAAUGUAUUUGUACUUUCUGACUGUACAGGUUUUCUAAUAUUUGUUUAUGAUAAUAACCUCUUUUUGGUUCAGGUAUUUGCCUUUUCAUACACUCUAGCUAUUUAUGAUAACAGAUACAUAUAUGGGCUAUUUUCUUUAGAUGGUAUCCUAUCAAAAGAUUAUUUAUUUAUUUGUUUUUUAAAGAUAAUAAUUUAGGUAAAAACUUUUGGUGUUUUUAAAAAAUGAGUACAUUUAACAAUGGCUAUUUUAUAUCAAGAUGGACAUUUAAAUGUGUUACAAAGGUAAAGUCAUCAUAAUUGUCAUGUUAAAAUAUUAUUUGUGGCUCUUUUUCUGUUAAUAUUCUACAGGAAUUCAACUACUAAAAAACAACCAUGACUGAUAACAGUAACAGUUCUCUAUAUUUUAAAUUCCAAAAUGCUUGCUAUUCUGGUAAAACUAUAAUAGUUAAGUUCAUUAUUCUUGUUACAAUGCUAACGCUAUUGACCUUCUCUUCUGGAUGUUCAACAACUAAAGUUUGGAGACCAGAACUAAAAGGUAACUGGGCUAUGAGGACAGCCAAUAUUUUGGCCCUGGCCCCUCAAGGUCAACAAAGUUCCAGGACAUGAGGGAACCUUCUCUACAGGGUCCUACAUCUUUGGUAAGUCACUCAACCUCCUAAACUGGGAGAUUGCUGGACACCAGAGGACAAUAUACUGUGUGCCAAAGGAGGGUCACCAAGAAAAAUAUCUCCAAUGCUUUCACUGAAAGCAACUUGGUCAAGCAAGGCCAUGACCCAUCCAGACGGCUGACACUGACAGAGGAGCAGAGAGGCACUAUGCAUGGUUCCAAAGUAAUGGCCUGGGGAGACUUAACUGACCUUAAUAGAUAACAAGAGGUUCAUAUUGAUUGACAUAGGUCUCGCUUUAACUUGGUCUUAAACACCCAGCAGAAAAAAUAACCAAAAGAGGUAUAAAACAAUGACAUAAUAAUAAAGCUAGACUUCAGAAAAAUUAAGACAUAGCCCACCCAUUAAAAUCUUUUGGUUCACUCAUGACACAGCCAUUUCAAAAAGACAAAACUUUGGGUACUAAAUAGAAGCAAAAAUCAUUAAUUAGCUACAAGUGUGUACAGAUUUGCUCAGUUACAUACACCUUUUAUAUUUAAAAAACAAAGGAUUAUAAAGAUUAUAUAAAUUGUGUUUAUCACUUUUCCACUCAUUCUCUAAGAGCAAGGACAUGACACAGGGGCCCUUAGAUCAGGAGCUAUGAUCUCUUCCAUAACAGUCUCUUACUUCUAUAACAAAUGAGCCCCUAAACAUCCAGCUGUCUCUGUAAAACCUAUGUAAAUAAUAAAUAAAAAAUUACAUGUCAAAUGAAAAAAAUUAAAACUCAAUGGGCCAGAUAGAUAUGCCCCCCAAGGUACUAAUCAAUGGUGGGGUACAUUUGGUUCCUGGAGCUCAUGGCUAGCCUGGCUAUUACUACUCUUGGGACCCCUCAGUAUUAUCUGUUUAAUUCUCUGUUUUGGACUGUGCCUGGUUCGCUGUUUUCAAAAUUUCUUGCAGGAACGAUUGAGGGCAUUCACCAGCCAGACAGUCACAGAGUUCAUCAUGGCAGGGUACCAGCCAGUACGGCAAAAGGAAGAGGUCCCCACUUGCCACCGGCCUCAUGAGAUCCAGGUCUAGCCCCGAUCUUUGCCCCUGGUCAGCAGGAAGCAGCUCCAGAAGAAGAGACCUUAGAACAACUAUCAUACAACAAAAGCCUGGAAUGAUAGGUCUCCCACCACCUCAGCAGCUAUUAUGUAUCAUAGCUGCCCUCUUCCUAUGGUGCCUUGCCCCCUCCCCUGUGUGAUGUCAUGCCAAGAUGGUUGCUCCCACCAAAGAAUAAACCCUUCUUCCCAGCAUGCCCCUGUUCCCGCCUAGAAAGUAACCUAAUACUCGCUCACCUCCUACAACCUAGUGACAUCACUGGCUCCUCCAUUCCCUAGUCACUACCUCACUCAACCCCACCUCAGCCCCUACAAACCCCACCCCAGUCUCUAUAAAAGACUCUCCCUGCCCCGGCCAUAUUGCUUUUGUCUCUCCUUUGUUCAGAGACAGCCCGGCAGAUCUAUUCCCCUAAUAAAGGCUUGCUGUGGCCUGGUCUGGUCUUGGUCUUCGGCCCUUUUACCUGACACCAUCUUAAUUGUAUAUAAA
ensembl:lncRNA